UACUGAUUGGCUGGGAUCGUUCCAUAGUGAGAGGGGGCUGCAUUAUUUCUGCACAAGGAGGACCUACUCUUCUCUAUACUGAGAAAGAAUUUUCUGUGGCCCAUUGUACAGCCUUUCAGUGCCAAGAAUAUGUGGAGAUUCCCUGCAACAAGUUCCUGUUAGUGAUCAUGUCCAACCUCAGCGGAGCCAAUCCGAUCUCCUCUCCAUUCAUCCUGGUUGGGAUCCCAGGGAUGGAAGAGAUGCACCCUUGGAUCUCAGUACCACUGUGUUGCAUGUAUAUAGUAACCAUUUCAGCCAACAUUUCCGUUCUUCUUAUCAUAAGAGCUGACAGGAGGCUUCACCAGCCGAUGUACCUGCUCCUUUCCAUGUUAUUACUCACUGACCUUGUCCAAUCAAAUGCCGCCCUUCCCAAGAUGCUGCUGAUCUUCUGGUUCAAGCUGAGAGAGAUCACUUUUGAGGAAUGUCUAGUGCAGAUGUUCUUUAUCCAUUCCUUCUCCAUAAUGGGGUCUUCUGUCCUCCUGACUAUGGCCUUUGAUCGUUAUGUGGCCAUUUGCCACCCACUGAGAUACUCCACCAUCCUGACCAAUUCCAUGAUUGCAAAAAUGGGCCUGUUUGUGACAAUAAGAGGGACAUUAUUGGCAAUUCCUUAUCCACUCCUUGUCAGACGGCUGCCAUUUUGUGGGAAUCACAUCAUUCAACAGACUUACUGUGAACACAUGGUGGUGGCCAAGCUCUCCUGUGGCGAUAUCCGAAUAAACUUUGUGUAUGGGUUAUUGGUUGCUUCACUAGUGGUAGGAUUAGACAUAAUAUGCCUCUCUGGGUCCUACACCAUGAUUAUAAUGGCCGUGCUGAGACUCCCUAACAGAGAAGCCAGAUAUAAAGUUGGUAACACAUGUUCUGCCCAUGUUGGUGUAAUCUUGGUGUUAUAUAUCCCAGCCCUCUUCUCCUUCAUAUCUCAGAGAUUUGGAGCUUCUUCAGCCCCAUCUGUCCAAAUCCUUGUUUCCAGCCCUCUACCUGAUCAUUCCUCCUAUGUGUAAUCCAAUCAUAUACGGCAUAAAAACUAAAGAGAUUCGCAAGAAGGUGUCAAAAUUGUUUUCACUUGCAGAGAUGGUUCUUUGAAAUGUCCCUCACAAUUUUACAAUUUUAGGUUUCUAUCUUAAAAAUCCAGUGGCCAAGAUGUCUUACAGCCAAGAAGCAAACAACAUGAGACGUUUCUUUUUCUUCCAAAACUAAUGCCACAUACUCAUAGUUACAUAGUAAAUUAGGUUGGAAAAAGCCUUUUUCAUACCUGAGACUUUCCGUAGCCUUUACCAGCUUAUUCUAGAUGGG